GUAGGUUACUAGAUACUGACCCGCCAUUUCAUUAGAUGAGGAUGUGUUUCAAUAGUCUAAUUUCUAAUAUGGUUUUAUUUUUAUAAAUUGUAAUUCUAAUUAGUGGAAGUAUGUCUUUGAAUAGUUUAUUAUCUAAUAUGGUUUUAUUUUUAUAAAUUGUAUUGUAAUUUAUUUGUUAUUAGUAAAAUUGUGUUUACACAUAUUGGACUUCAAAUCCGUUGUUUGUUUAAUUCUUAAAUAUAUCACAUAU
rnacentral:lncRNA from 1 species